UACGUAGGGGGCUAGCGUUGUCCGGAUUUAUUGGGCGUAAAGAGCGUGUAGGCGGCCAGGUAGGUCUGCUGUGAAAACUCGAGGCUCAACCUCGAGACGUCGGCGGAAACCAUCUGGCUAGAGUCCGGAAGAGGAGAGUGGAAUUCCUGGUGUAGCGGUGAAAUGCGCAGAUAUCAGGAAGAACACCCGUGGCGAAGGCGGCUCUCUGGGACGUGACUGACGCUGAGACGCGAAAGCUAGGGGAGCAAACGGG
rnacentral:rRNA from 1 species